rnacentral:tRNA from 1 species
UUAACAGUUUAUUUGACUUACAAUCAAAAAAAGCUUUUGCACUGUUAAA